rnacentral:rRNA from 1 species
GACGAACGCUGGCGGCGUGCUUAACACAUGCAAGUCGAACGGAAAGGCCCUGCUUUUGUGGGGUGCUCGAGUGGCGAACGGGUGAGUAACACGUGAGUAACCUGCCCUUGAAUUUGGGAUAACUUCAGGAAACUGGGGCUAAUACCGGAUAGGAGCUACUGCUGCAUGGUGGGGGUUGGAAAGUUUCGGCGGUUGGGGAUGGACUCGCGGCUUAUCAGCUUGUUGGUGGGGUAGUGGCUUACCAAGGCUUUGACGGGUAGCCGGCCUGAGAGGGUGACCGGCCACAUUGGGACUGCGAUACGGCCCAGACUCCUAUGGGAGGCAGCAGUGGGGAAUAUUGCACAAUGGGCGGAAGCCUGAUGCAGCAACGCCGCGUGCGGGAUGACGUCCUUCGGGUUGUAAACCGCUUUCGCCUGUGACGAAGCGUGAGUGACGGUAAUGGGUAAAGAAGCACCGGCUAACUACGUG